GAGAAACGCUGGCGGCGCACAUAAGACAUGCAAGUCGAACGGAAUUUAGUCGAAUGUUUACAUGAGACGAAAAUUUAGUGGCGGACGGGUGAGUAACACGUGAGCAACCUGCCUUUAAGAGGGGGAUAACAUUGAGAAAUCAGUGCUAAUACCGCAUAAAGCUGUAAUAUCGCAUGAUAAUAUAGCCAAAGGAGAAAUCCGCUUAAAGAUGGGCUCGCGGCUGAUUAGUUAGUUGGUAGGGUAACGGCCUACCAAGACGAUGAUCAGUAGCCGAGCUGAGAGGCACAACGGCCACAUUGGGACUGAGACACGGCCCAGACUCCUACGGGAGGCAGCAGUGGGGGAUAUUGCACAAUGGGGGAAACCCUGAUGCAGCGACGCCGCGUGAGGGAAGACGGUUUUCGGAUUGUAAACCUCUGUCUUUGGGGACGAAUAAAUGACGGUACCCAAGGAGGAAGCCACGGCUAACUACGUG
rnacentral:rRNA from 1 species